rnacentral:rRNA from 1 species
UCGGGAAUUUUGGGCAAUGGGCGAAAGCCUGACCCAGCAACGCCGCGUGAAGGAUGAAGUAUUUCGGUAUGUAAACUUCGAAAGAAUAGGAAGAAUAAAUGACGGGUACUAUUUAUAAGGUCCGGCUAACUACGUGCCAGCAGCCGCGGUAAUACGUAGGGACCAAGCGUUGUUCGGAUUUACUGGGCGUAAAGGGCGCGUAGGCGGCAAUUCAAGUCAUCUGUGAAAUCUCCGGGCUUAACUCGGAACGGUCAGAUGAUACUGCUUUGCUAGAGUGCAGAAGGGGCAAUCGGAAUUCUUGGUGUAGCGGUGAAAUGCGUAGAUAUCAAGAGGAACACCUGAGGUGAAGACGGGUUGCUGGGCUGACACUGACGCUGAGGCGCGAAAGCC